rnacentral:tRNA from 1 species
ACUUAAGUAGCUUAUAGUAGAGCGUAAUAUUGAAGAUAUUAAGGAGAUAUAAUUAUUCUUAAGUA